UACAGGAGAAUCUCGACGUGGUCAAAGG
rnacentral:piRNA from 1 species